AGGAUCUAGAGUUUGUGAAUCCACUAGAUCUAGAUUAGGGAAUUCUUCCUAGAAUUUUUUUUAUUGAUCCUAACGACUACUCCUCUUGUCUUUCCCAAGCAUAGAUUAUGAAGGGACUAAGACCCAACGAUAACCCAUCAAGAUUCUUUACAGGGGAGUAGUAACUAGGAUCCCUUAGGAUUUUCUCCUCCUAUGCACUGAAUCAAGCAUGAACUAUGAAGAGACUCUGACCCAACUGUAGUUCAUCAAAAAUUCUUGGCAAAAGAGGAAGAAAAAGAAAUCCUAAGAAAAAGAAAGAACCCUAUGUAAAACCUCUACUCAUGAUCUAGCUUCAUCGCAAACCCUAGAAGGGAUGCUUAGCUAGACAUGAUCUAAAUCUACUUGCAAAAUUUAAAUGCAGAAAAAUAAACUACCCUAAUUUCAUAACUUAAACUAUCCUAAUUGCAUAAAUUUAAACUGCAUAAUUUAAACUAACCUAAUUGCAUAAAAUUAAAUUACAUAAAUUAAACUAUCCUAAUUGCAAGAAAAAUAAAUUGCAUAAGGUAAAGAGAUAAAAUUUCAUAAAAAUAAGAUUUUAUAUAAAAAAAAUUUAUUACAAAAACUUCAAAGCUCGAGGCUUGAGAAGAAAGCUAAAAAACCCACUAUCUAGGGUUACAAGCUUGAUUGGAAGGAAAGAAUCAUUAAAACAAGGGCCUUUGGGGGCUUUUUAUAGGCAUUUGGGGGUUAUAAGGUUUUCAAAACUUUAGAUGUGGGACUAAGAGGUUUUAGAGGGCUGUUAGGGGGGUUUAGGGGGAUUUAGGGGCUCAAAUCUCGCUCAAAAAGUACUUAAAUCCAUCAAGAAAUCUUAGAAAUUGUUUCAGCCGUCCGAUCUUCAUCUAAAGGACCCAAUUCAUCUAAUAAAUCAAGCCAGGAGCGAUUCUGGGCCGUCGGAUCACGAUCUGGGUGAAGCGCUGCCGUUGGAUCGCGCUGCAGAGAUGGGAUCAG
rnacentral:lncRNA from 1 species